GUAGGUGAACCUGCGGAAGGAUCAUUAGUGAAUUGAAUAUGUUAGCGGACCUCUUCGGAGUCCCUAGCAUCAAAUCAUAUCCAUAACAUCUGUGAACUGUAAGGCUGUCUUGAAAACGAAAGUGAUUAGAGCGCCUGCCCAUUUUAUACAAACAUUAAAGUAACAAACGUAGUCUCAUUAUAAUCUAAUAAAACUUUCAACAACGGAUCUCUUGGCUCUC
rnacentral:misc_RNA from 1 species